UUCUUCGAAAAAACGUGUUUUUCUACAAAUUUUAUCUAAUUAAAAUCAAUAAUUGCUCAAUCAUUAUAUUCAUUAUUAAUAAAAACUACAUGUGCAUGGAUUGCCUGUUGGAUUGAUUUUUGUUUAAGAAGAAAUUUAUCUCAAGUAAGACUCGAGAAAGGUUAUUGCAGCUUGCAGCAACAUCAUGUUUUAUCAAGUAUUGAACCACAAAAAGGAUUAAAUCUUCAUUACAAUAUCAUUCAUAACCAUUUAAAUCAAUGGAAACUAAAUAUGGAUCGUUUCAUGGAGUAAAACAACAUACUUUGGAGUUUGGACCCAAAAUACAAUACACGUUAAUAUCGAACUUCCAACUUAUAAGGUGUUAAGCUGCAAUUACAAUAAAAGUGCUUGCUAUGGAAUCACCGGUGCUGAAAGAAAGAAAGAAAAAAUAUUUAUUUGGUUAUGCCGUGACAUAAAUGCAUUAAAUUAUGAAGAUUUGUAUUGGAUGAAUUACCCAGAUAACAAUUAAAACAACUUCUGUUGAUAAGAACAUUUGAUUGGUGGAAUCCAGAUUCUGUGAAUGUACAUGUAAUUGAUUGAAA